GACGAACGCUGGCGGCGUGCUUAACACAUGCAAGUCGAACGGACAGGCCCUGCUUUUGUGGGGUGCUCGAGUGGCGAACGGGUGAGUAACACGUGAGUAAAAUGCCCUUGACUUUGGGAUAACUUCAGGAAACUGGGGAUAAUACCGGAUAGGAGCUCCUGCUGCAUGGUGGGGGUUGGAAAGUUUCGGCUGUUGUGGAUGGACUCGCGGCUUAUCAGCUUCUUUGUGGGGUAGUGGCUUACCAAGGCUUUGACGGGUAGCCGGCCUGAGAGGGGUGCCGGCCACCUUGGGACUGAGGUACGGCCCAGCCUCCUACGUGAGGCAGCAGUGGGGAAUAUUGCACAAUGGGCGGAAGCCUGAUGCAGCAACGCCGCGUGCGGGAUGACGGCCUUCGGGUUGUAAACCGCUUUCGCCUGUGACGAAGCGUGAGUGACGGUAAUGGGUAAAGAAGCACCGGCUAACUACGUG
rnacentral:rRNA from 1 species